AGAGACAUGAUAGUUUAUUUCUAUGCCUUUCUUGGCUAAAAUUGCAUGCCCUGCCAUAUUUCACAGACAUUGGUUGGCAACUUGGGACUUUGAGAGCAGAGGAGAAAGUUCAGUGUGUGUACCAAGUGUGGCUGAUCCAAAGAGGAUGGCAGCAAGCACGGCCUGGCUUUCACAUUAUACUGAAAAGAAUCGUAGCAUUAGACCAAACCAGCGGGACCAAGACAAACGAGAGGGCCAAGUCCCUUGAAAGCUAUUAAAGAUGAGAGUCAUGAACAAGCAAGCUCCUUUCAAUAGUGACUUGUGUUGUUUCCCCGGCCUAGUAGCCUCAGCACUUUGAAACCUCAAACCUCCUGAGCUGUUUACUUGACUUCAAGUGGCUGUGAAAAGGAGGCACCCUGUGCAAACGCCUGCAGGGGCGCCAUCCUGGGCACAGAGAAGAGCUGGCGGUGGCGGGGCCCGAAGGCGGAGUCCUCCCGCAGAUGACCGACCAACAAGCCUACUCUGUGGGUCUCAUGUGUAAUGACAUGGCAGGUCCCGUGGAGACAGUGUUUUGAUGCAGGGUAGGAAAUCAGAUAAGGAGUCUGAGGUUCAGACACGGCGGCAAAUUAUUCAUCAAAAUAUCCUACAAGUCAUACCCCGGUGGGAUUUCUGCCUAGCAGUCAUUAAUUGGAAAUGAACUAGUAUUUAACACGAAGUGUUUCUAAAAGGGUUAUAACAAUAUCGCCCUGUGGACAGUAUAAAACAGAAGCAAAAUGCACAGAACAUAAAGGUUGCCCUUAAUUCAACCAUUAGCGCUAAAGGCAAUAGUGAGGGUGAUUGCAUAUACCAUGUUUAUUUCAAGUGCUUUGUUGACAGUGACCAAUAAAAGGCCAACAUGGGUGAGAAUCACAUUAGUUUUCCAGAUGUACUCUCACAAGUAUGGAUUUGGAACAGCCAUUUGAGAGAUUAAAGCUCAGUGUUUUCCUCAAUCUGUAGAUUAGCAAAAACCUACAGUUCAGCAUCAGGGUUAAGAGAGAAAGGAGUUAAUUUACAUGGCUAUUCAAGUGCCUCCCACUUCCAAG
rnacentral:lncRNA from 1 species